AAACAAAAACAAACUUCCCAGGCGAUAUGCAUGCCCAACAAAGAAGACGUGACCGAAGAUUGAUUUCAAUAUUGUCUUCAUUAUCAUGGCUACCAGAAGAUGUUUUUUAUUCAAACAUCCAUCCGAACAACCGAACAUGGCUUGUCGGCGAAAUACCGUCAGGAAGAAGAAACAUUUUGCCGUGAAAGAAGAAGCAAUGAGUGGAUGCCUAGCUCUUGGGAACUCUUCAUGAUUUAAGAUUGAUUUGUUUAUAGAAUUCACAAAAAAGUAGUUUAAUCUUUGCAUACUUUGAUGAAAGCAUCGUAGUUAGAUUAUUAAUUUUAGUGUAAAACUGAGGCUGUUAGCAUUUAAUAUGCCGUCAAUGGGGAAAUGUGUUAAAUCUCAACCCUUAUAAUACUGAUAAAUAUGUAAAUGCGGAUAAGCAGAAUUGUCUUUGACUGUUAUUUGGUAGAUAAGAAAAGUUUUAAAAAAUGUAAAGAAUCGAAUGUGCUAUUGAAAUGUGUAUGUAAUACGAAUUAAUUGGACCUACCCAGGAAAAUUAUAUGAAUAAUGGAAGGCCCAAUUACCACCCCUUCUAAUUUUUGCUACCUGAUUUCAUUCCAUUAAUUUUACCAAAGACAUGAUAAAAAUUGUGAUUAUGCUUGUGAUUGUAAUUGCAAUAAAACUAAUAAGUAAUAAUAAAGUAACGUGAACUCAUUACUUUAAUUGUCCCGUAUAGUUGCACAAUUUUCAUAGGCAGAUCUAAGGGGCGAGGAGACCCGAGCCACCCCCCCCCCCCCCCCCCCCGAAGAUACCAAAGUACACAUCCCUUUUCAUGAUUUAACAAACAUGAAGAAAGUGUCUCCUUUUUAGGUCUGAAAUCACAAAUUUUUCGCGGUCACAUCAAUUGUUUUAGUUAUUUACCUAAUUUACCGUUUAUUUCGAAAAGUGCUUAGAAUGUCAAUUUUUUAGGUCAGAAUGUCAAAAAAUUUUAAAUAAAAGUUGAAAUAUGUAUCGUCUUAUGACUAACUGCAAA